CUGGCUUCCCAGCGAUGCACGAUGAGGGACAGAAGGAAGCCCUUAGGGAGCCCCUUCCGUCCCUCAUCCUGCUUCGCUGGGAAGCCAG